rnacentral:rRNA from 1 species
UACGAAGGGGGCUAGCGUUGCUCGGAAUCACUGGGCGUAAAGCGCACGUAGGCGGACUCUUAAGUCGGUGGUGAAAUCCUGGAGCUCAACUCCAGAAUUGCCUUCGAUACUGGGGAUCUCGAGACCGGAAGAGGUGAGUGGAACUGCGAGUGUAGAGGUGAAAUUCGUAGAUAUUCGCAAGAACACCAGUGGCGAAGGCGGCUCACUGGUCCGGUUCUGACGCUGAGGUGCGAAAGCGUGGGGAGCAAACAGG